rnacentral:ncRNA from 1 species
UUAAAAACGAUGAAGGGGAAAAGUAGCCAAUGCUGCCUUAAGGGAGAGUGUAUCGUGACUGGGAGUACACUUAGGAUACGGUUGAGCGAACGAACACCCUGGAGUUGGUUAGUUGAAAGUUCUAGGACGAUUAGAUUAAUCCGUAUGUCCUGCGUUAUAAGGACUUUAAGUGGGCAGGAAUCCAUUCUUGCUCAGUAGGGUGGUACCACGGGAAUAAUACCUCUCGUCCCUGAC